GGGUGCGACCAUACCAGCACUAAUGCACCGAAUCCCAUCAGAACACCGCAGUUAAGCAUGCUUGGGCGAGAGUAGUACUAGGAAUGGGUGACCUCCCCGGGAAGUCCUCGUGUUGCACCUU
rfam:Eutrema salsugineum unplaced genomic scaffold scaffold_12, whole genome shotgun sequence.